CUUUGGGCCACUGAACUAGAGUUGCUAAGUAGUUCUUAGUUGCUGAGUAGUUCUAGUAGUUCUAGAGUUGCUAAGUAGCUCAACCCACAUCUCCUUCUAUGGGAAUCUUCUCCCGUAGGCUGUUCCAUUCUGAAGAGCCCCCUCACCCCCCUCCACAACACACAACCGAAUGAAUUAUGGUUGAGUUUCUGUCCCAAGAACAGAACUUCUGUUGGUCCCUGGGCGACCUCUGAAUGGUGUGGUCGCUGGAAAGGAAGGAGGUCAGCCAAUCAAAUCUCUCUGGAGAACGUGCUCUCGAAAGGACACCAAGUCGGAAACGUGAAAGAGAAUCUGUACCUUGAACGUAAGACAGGAGAGUCUCCUUGCUCAGGCUCAGGAAGAUUAGGCCAGCAGCCCUCACACCAGCCUCAGGAUGAGUCUCCCACUGCCCUCAGGGCUAGUCCUGGACUCCCCAGUGACACCCUGGCUACAGUGCUCCUCAUUUCUGCUCUGGUCCCACACAGUGGAGGUCACAUAAUCCUCCUCCACGGGGCCAACCCAAAGCAGACAUCCCCACACACGCUUGGGCUGAUCCAGGCCCCAGGCUACUAGUCAAUAGAUUGUGUGGAAGAGAAACACCUUGUAAAGUUCAUUCUUGAGGCUUCCCUGCAGCAGGAGUAGCUGCAGAAGUCAGAUGGAGUGAGAAGGCAGAGCGCUCGGGUCAUGGUCAUACCAGCCGUGUGACCUUGCACAGAUCGGCCAAUUGCUCUCAUCCACGGUGUCUUCAUCUGUGAAGGAGGGAUUACAAACUUUGCCCAGCUUACCUCGGGGUUAUUAUGAGGGGGUGCAAUGAGCUGGGGUUUAUGGAAACGCCCUGGAAGCCUGCUGGCCCUUGUUCAGACGUAUGUCUUUGGCAGUGCGAUAAAGAAUCGGGAAGAAGUUAUGCCAGCUAUGGGAAAGUUUCCAGGCUGUGUCUGCUCUUAUUGUAGUAACAAACCCUGUUCCCGACAGAAGCACGAGAUCCCAUAAGGUAAGUCCAUGGUGGGGGGGGGGGGGAGUUAAGAAACUGGAAAACGACUCUGCCUUAUGGCACUUGUCCAAGUGAAAAUUCUAGGAGCGCAAAUAAUGAUGGAAAAUAAACUUCCCCUUGCUUUUAAUUUCA
rnacentral:lncRNA from 1 species